UACGGAGGGUGCAAGCGUUGUUCGGAAUUAUUGGGCGUAAAGGGCACGUAGGUGGUCUUAUAAGUCUACUGUGAAAUCCCCGGGCUUAACCCGGGAAGUGCGGUGGAUACUGUAAGACUAGAGUGCUGGAGGGGUUAGUGGAAUUCCGGGUGUAGCGGUGGAAUGCGUAGAGAUCCGGAAGAACACCGGUGGCGAAGGCGGCCUGCUGGGCAGUAGCUGACACUGAGGCGCGACAGCGUGGGGAGCAAACAGG
rnacentral:rRNA from 1 species